UUUUUUUGCUUUAUGCCUGGCGGAAUCCGCUGACGAUAUUGUGGACUCGACUUUCAGUUAUUACGAGGAAUCUUCGGGGUUUCUUAUCCUGCCUUCAAAUUGAAAUCCUGCUGAGGGGCAUUCAAUCAGAUUUACUGGAAUAUAUCGGGAAAUUCUUUUUUUCUGGUGAAAUUCAAAUUUUUGGCGGAAUUUUCUGCAUCAGCUGGAUUUUUUUGAUGAAAAAAAUUCUUUUUGAAUUAAUGGAAAAAUCAAUCAAAUCAAUAUAUAAUAGUGUACAUGGAUUGAUGUGUUAUUAGAUUUAUUAUUUAUGUUUUGUUUUUGGGUUUUUGGAAAUUGUAGAAGUGAAUAAAUUAUAAUGCACGCAAUUACCAGAAAAUUUUAAGAAAAACAAUUAUUCAAAAAUUUAAUUAUUGACUGAUUCGCUGAUAAUUGACUUGAAAAUUUGGGAAUUCUAAUGGAAUCCCCGGUUAAGUGUCAGUGGAAAUGGUAAAGUGUUAAUUAACCUAUAAUUCGUUGAAUUUUUUUAUGAUUGCGACCCGAGGGGCAAAAAACAGCGAAACGCCUAUGAAAAAUUGAAAUCAAAUUGAAUUUCUUCUAUUUGAUCUGAAUAAAACCCGAGGAUAAAUGUUAAUUCGCAAAUACACCAUUCUCAGAAUCUCUUCGGCACUCGUUAAUGGCACGUACGCGACUGCAAACACAUUUUCAUAGCGUGUACUGCUAAAUUCAUACGCAGGAGUGAAGGCUGUAUCAAACGUGUGACUUGAAUGUCCGCUCUUCAACGUAUAAUGCAUUAUAUGUGUCGCAAAUAUUGAUAUAUUCGAGGAAAUGUGGAACAUUGAAAUGGAAUCAUAAAAAUGCAAAUAUAUCUGACGUAUACAGGAAAUGCGAGAAACUGGUGGAUAAAAACGAAUGAGACGUUAAUCACGGGGUGAUGAGUUUUCUCGCGACGAAAAAAGAAUUAUUUUCUCGGGUGGAAACGAGGCGCCUCGUGGAAGUUCCAAUUACGUUUGAAGGAUCAUCGGGGGAAAUCAAGUUAUUACAUGAUAAAAAUCUUCAAGCCCCAACUAUCCCCAACUGUACACAUGUUUGUCUCGGUACAUAAUGAGAAUAGGAAAACUAAUGGGAGUUUAAGUGGAAUCUCGUGCUAGACUCUCCCCAGUGACAUUUCAAAGUCAAUCUCCAUUUUUACCCAUCGAUAUUCACGCCAAUUCCAUGAUAUCGAAGUCUAGGUACUCUUGAGACGAAGGAAAAAUGAUGUAUGAACGAUGCAGGCACCCUUCGACGCUCUUCCUCUCUUCAAGGAUUCGCACUCGGAUUUAUCCUCUCUUUCGUCACCGCCUCGAACUUUCCACCUCUUUCCAUUCAAGAAAUCACGUCCUACAGGCGACAAGAGGAUUCGGUUAUUAUGGGACAAUAAAACUUUGUUGCUUACCGACCGAUAUUAUUACCGUUACAAAUUUCCCAGACCUGUACUUACCUGGGAAAAUGCUUUAUGAGUCCAUUUCCGGGGCUAAAUCCUGCUCUUUUUCGGCAAGCAAUUUGAGAAUAUUUAUGGAGAGUUUACGGUUUGUAAAUUGACUCCAAAAAAUCCCUCGCUUUUUUUGCAGAAUAAAGAAUUACUCCGUGAAAGAAGAAUAAAAGAGAAAAGUUCAGGUAUUGCGUAAUUCUGUAAAAGAUUGCCUGGAAAAUUAUUCCACAGAAGCUAAAUAAAUUCACCAAUUGUUCCCUUUCACUCUGAGUAUUCGAUUUUCUCUGAAUCUGAGAGAGAUGGCGAAAUUUUUGUAUAGACUUAUUUUAGCGAGUGAAAAAAGAGCUACGAAAAUGGUCUUAUAAAAAAUCUUGCAAUUUCUGUAAUUUUCCCCCUAAGUGGACAUGAAACACUGAACAUGAUAAAACUGACCUGAAAAAUGAUUUGAGCCCGCAGAAUGAUUUUUCUAAUUUUUCAAGGACUCAAGGGCACCCAUGAGC